GAUGAACGCUGGCGGCGUGCCUAACACAUGCAAGUCGAGCGAGAAAUAAAGGAAUGAAGCUUCGGUAGAUUUUCUUUAUGGAAAGCGGCGGACGGGUGAGUAACGCGUAGGCAACCUGCCCUGUACAGGGGGAUAGCCACCCGAAACGGUGAUUAAUACCCCAUAACGCAAGAGAUACACAUGUAUCACUUGUCAAAGAUUUAUCGGUAUAGGAUGGGCCUGCGUCUGAUUAGCUAGUUGGUAGGGUAACGGCUUACCAAGGCAACGAUCAGUAGCCGACCUGAGAGGGUGAUCGGCCACAUUGGAACUGAGACACGGUCCAAACUCCUACGGGAGGCAGCAGUGGGGAAUAUUGCACAAUGGGCGCAAGCCUGAUGCAGCAACGCCGCGUGAAGGAUGAAGGCCUUCGGGUUGUAAACUUCUGUCCUUGGGGAAGAAACAAAUGACAUUACC
rnacentral:rRNA from 1 species